rnacentral:rRNA from 1 species
UACGUAGGGUGCGAGCGUUAAUCGGAAUUACUGGGCGUAAAGCGUGCGCAGGCGGUUCGUUGUGUCGGCGGUGAAAGCCCCGGGCUCAACCUGGGAAUGGCCGUUGAAACUGGCGAACUGGAGUGUGGCAGAGGGGGGUGGAAUUCCGCGUGUAGCAGUGAAAUGCGAUAGAGAUGCGGAGGAACACCGGAUGGCCGGAGGGCAGCCCCCCUGGGCUGACACUGACGCUCGAGGCGACAGAAAGCGUAGGGGAGCAAACAGG